UAGAUACAGUAGGUUAAGUAGGUACAGUAGGUUAAGUAGUUACAAUAAGGUACAGUAGGUACAGUAGAUAGGUUAAGCAGAUACAGUAGGUACAGUAGGGAAGUAGAUACAGUAGGUGAAGUAGAUACAGUAGAUGUAGUAGGUACAGUAGGUGAAGUAGGUAGCUAAAGUAGGUGGAGUAGAUACAGUAGAUGUAGUAGGUGCAGUAGAUACAGUAGACACAGUAGAUAACGUAGGAAGGUACAGUAGAUACAGUAGGUGGAUAACAUAGGAAGGUACAGUAGAUACAGUAGGUAGAUAAAGUAGAAAGGUACAGUAGAUACAGUAGGUAGAUAACGUAGGAAGGUACAGUAGGUAGGUGGUAGAUAGUAGGUGAAGUCAGUACAGUAGGUGUGGUAGAUACAGUAGAUAGCUAAAGUAGGAAGGUACAGUAGAUACAGUAGGUAGAUAAAGUAGGAAGGUACAGUAGGUACAGUAGGUGAAGUCAGUACAGUAGGUGUGGUAGAUACAGUAGAUAGCUAAAGUAGGUAGGUACAGUAGGUUCAGUAGGUAAAAUAGGUUGUACUUCAAUAAUUUAUAAUGUCAAGACAUGUUCGUUUAUAACCAAAUAUGGAGUGUCGUUGAGCAACUAUCUUAAUUUACUGCCAUCAAGCCCAGUGUGUACUUCCAAAAAUUUUUACAAGCAACUGAAAAAAUAUAUUGUUUGGAAAUAAUGUGUAUUGUUUUGC
rnacentral:lncRNA from 1 species